UACAGAGGGGGCAAGCGUUGUUCGGAAUUACUGGGCGUAAAGGGCGCGUAGGCGGCCUGCUAAGUCGAACGUGAAAUCCCCGGGCUCAACCCGGGAACUGCGUCCGAUACUGGCAGGCUUGAAUCCGGGAGAGGGAUGUGGAAUUCCAGGUGUAGCGGUGAAAUGCGUAGAUAUCUGGAGGAACACCGGUGGCGAAGGCGGCAGCCUGGACCGGUAUUGACGCUGAUGCGCGAAAGCCAGGGGAGCAAACGGG
rnacentral:rRNA from 1 species